UCUGCGCCUCCAGCCAGCCACCGGUACUUCCACCACCGCGCCACCUCCUACUCCCUCUCUUCUUCUUCUUCUUCUUUUCUUUUCUUUCUUUUUCUUUCCUUUUCUUUCCUCUCUUGCGCUUGCGUCUGAGUCCGUUCUGCACUGUGACUGGCGACGCCUGAAGCAGCAGCGGCGACACCAGCUAGGCCGGACUUCCUCGCGCGCCACCUUGUUGCAGUUCGACGUCGCAGCAGCUCCGCCAGUGGUUCAACUUCAUCCUCGGCCAGAUCGCGCAGCGCCACCUCCACCAGAUCGCAUCAUCGCUCUGAUCUGUCGCGCCACUGCCUGCCGUCGCUCUAGCGCGCCUCCGACCACCAGAGAUGGGUCUGAUCUGUCGCCGCCUCCGCCUCUCUGCCACUGCCAGUCGGAUCGUGUCCUCUGCUUGCAGUUCCAGUGCGCAUCCGGCACGCGUAAAUUCCCGAUCUAGCGAAACCCAACAAGAAAAGUUAUAUUUGGGGUAAUAGAAGAAAGUCCCAUGGAGUUGAAACAUUAAUUAUAGAAGACUGUUAAUAAGAAAAUAAUGAUGUGAAUGUACAGGUAGAAUUUCGCAAUUGUAUUCCAAAUGGGUUAUAAAUGAAUAAAUAAAUAGAGUACGGAUACUUAUUAUAUGGAUUGUACUUUGAAUAUAUUUGUGAAAUAAGUUAUUGGGCCUGAAUCCACAAUUAUGAAUA